UCCGGUAUGGUGUAACGGCUAACAUUGCCGCCUUUCAACAAAUGGUGUCCAUCGCGGCAGCUCGGGGUUCGAUUCCCCGUACCGGAA